UACGAAGGGGGCUAGCGUUGCUCGGAAUUACUGGGCGUAAAGCGUGCGCAGGCGGCGCGUUAAGACAGGUGUGAAAGCCCCGAGCUUAACUUGGGAAUUUGCGCUUGUGACUGGCGUGCUGGAGUGUGGCAGAGGGAGGUGGAAUUCCACGUGUAGCAGUGAAAAUGCGUAGAGAUGUGGAGGAACACCGAUGGCGAAGGCAGCCUCCUGGGCCA
rnacentral:rRNA from 1 species